GAUGAACGCUGGCGGCGUGCCUAAUACAUGCAAGUCGAGCGAACGGACGAGAAGCUUGCUUCUCUGAUGUUAGCGGCGGACGGGUGAGUAACACGUGGAUAACCUACCUAUAAGACUGGGAUAACUUCGGGAAACCGGAGCUAAUACCGGAUAAUAUUUUGAACCGCAUGGUUCAAAAGUGAAAGACGGUUUUGCUGUCACUUAUAGAUGGAUCCGCGCUGCAUUAGCUAGUUGGUAAGGUAACGGCUUACCAAGGCAACGAUGCAUAGCCGACCUGAGAGGGUGAUCGGCCACACUGGAACUGAGACACGGUCCCGACUCCUACGGGAGGCAGCAGUAGGGAAUCUUCCGCAAUGGGCGAAAGCCUGACGGAGCAACGCCGCGUGAGUGAUGAAGGUCUUCGGAUCGUAAAACUCUGUUAUUAGGGAAGAACAUAUGUGUAAGUAACUGUGCACAUCUUGACGGUACCUAAUCAGAAAGCCACGGCUAACUACGUG
rnacentral:rRNA from 1 species